rnacentral:rRNA from 1 species
GAUGAACGCUGGCGGCGUGCCUAAUACAUGCAAGUCGAGCGAACAGACGAGGAGCUUGCUCCUCUGACGUUAGCGGCGGACGGGUGAGUAACACGUGGAUAACCUACCUAUAAGACUGGGAUAACUUCGGGAAACCGGAGCUAAUACCGGAUAAUAUAUUGAACCGCAUGGUUCAAUAGUGAAAGACGGUUUUGCUGUCACUUAUAGAUGGAUCCGCGCCGGAUUAGCUAGUUGGUAAGGUAACGGCUUACCAAGGCAACGAUGCGUAGCCGACCUGAGAGGGUGAUCGGCCACACUGGAACUGAGACACGGUCCAGACUCCUACGGGAGGCAGCAGUAGGGAAUCUUCCGCAAAGGGCGAAAGCCUGACGGAGCAACGCCGCGUGAGUGAUGAAGGUCUUCGGAUCGUAAAGCUCUGUUAUUAGGGAAGAACAAAUGUGUAAGUAACUAUGCACGUAGUGACGGUACCUAAUCAGAAAGCCACGGCUAACUACGUG